rnacentral:miRNA from 1 species
AAAGGUGUUUCACAGGCGCUAC